GCGCGUCAACUUGUGAACUGCAGGACACAUGAACAUCGACAUUUCGAACGCACAUUGCGGUCCUCGGAUACUGUUCCCGGACCACUCCUGGCUGAGGGUCGUAU
rnacentral:rRNA from 1 species